AUUAGCCUGGCCACAGCCUGCAACUUGAUAUAAGAGUAGGGAUUCAAUCCUUUGCUGGGAAAGAUCUAAGACAAACAAGAGAAAAGGAGAAAAUCUUUGCAAAGGCUAAUGUGAUGGAAAGGCCUAAGAGAUAGACAAAUGAAGGACAAGAAUUUCAUUCUGGAAGAAUGUGAAAUGCCUGAAUACAGGAAAGAAGUUGGUACUGUCCCCCUCUGUUAUCCUGACAGACCCCACUGACAUGCUUUUCAGAGAUUUUGAAGGUCUUGGACUUACUGCUCAGCCUCUGGUGAUGAGAUGGGGCACAGGGUUUCCUGGACACCCCAAGUCCCAGGUCAAAGAGUACAUGAGGAAUUUCCCAAUUUUCCACCCUUGCAGUGGUAGCUGAAGAAAGCCAGCCCUAAUGCAACCAAAGAGAUGACUAAAUAAACAAUGAAUAAAUUCUGCCUAUUUUUUUUUA